rnacentral:tRNA from 1 species
CAGAGGGUAGUUUAUUAAAAUAUUAAAUUUGGGGUUUAAAGACGAGAAUUUCUUUCUCCUCUGA